rnacentral:rRNA from 1 species
ACAUCCAGAGAACUUAGCAGAGAUGCUUUGGUGCCUUCGGGAACUCUGAGACAGGUGCUGCAUGGCUGUCGUCAGCUCGUGUUGUGAAAUGUUGGGUUAAGUCCCGNAACGAGCGCAACCCUUAUCCUUUGUUGCCAGCGGCUCGGCCGGGAACUCAAAGGAGACUGCCGGUGAUAAACCGGAGGAAGGUGGGGAUGACGUCAAGUCAUCAUGGCCCUUACGGCCAGGGCUACACACGUGCUACAAUGGCGCAUACAAAGAGAAGCGACCUCGCGAGAGCAAGCGGACCUCACAAAGUGCGUCGUAGUCCGGAUUGGAGUCUGCAACUCGACCCCCAUGAAGUCGGAAUCGCUAGUAAUCGUAGAUCAGAAUGCUACGGUGAAUACGUUCCCGGGCCUUGUACACACCGCCCGUCACACCAUGGGAGUGGGUUGCAAAAGAAGUAGGUAGCUUAACCUUCGGGAGGGCGCUUACCACUUUGUGAUUCAUGACUGGGGUGAAGUCGUAACAAGGUAGGCGUAGCGAG